GCCUUCCACAUUAUAGCACAAUUCGUAUAAAGAAAGAGGUAUCAUUCAUCAUUAUCAUUUGUGAAGGGCGGAAAAUUUUCUUUUCCUAUGAAAAGUUAUCACAAUCAAGAACUGAUCUAAAAUUUUGUCUUAAAGUGAAAGUGUUAGUCACUCUGUUGUGUCUGACUCUUUGUGAUCCCAUGAACUGUAGCCCACCAGGCUCCUCUGUCCAUGGAUUCUCCAGGCAAGACUGGAGUGGGUUGUCAUUCCCUUUUCCAGGGGAUCUUGCUGACCCAGGGGUCGAACCUGGGUCUCCUGCAUUGCAGGCAGAUUGGUUACCAACUGAGCCACAUAGUUAUGGUUAAUAAUGGUAAAUGAAAAGUAACCUUUAACACUUAACAUGAAUUUGUUUUUUUAAUUUAAAUAAAAAUAUGCAAAAAAAAAUCAAAGAAAUACACAAAUAAUGUCACGUGCUGGCCCUCAUGUGAGCCGUUGGGAAGACCUGCUGGGUCCGGGAAGAGAAGGAACUCCUGGAGACCCCGCUCACCUGUUCUGUCCUCUCAGGAAAGUCGGUAUCAAGGGGCCUCUAUUUUGGGAAGGCUGUGAUGGCCUCCAGCGGCGUCUGCUGCUGGCACGCAGGUAAACAUGGAUAUGUCUUGCCUUUCUUCUGUGAGUGACAGAGGAAGAAAGUGCGUUCUGGAUGUGCUGACAUCAAUAUAUUGUUACAAUAUGAGUAACAAGACAGCCCACUGACAGAUGGGCACUUCCAUUUAUAACACUGGCUCAGGGUCCUCUUCUUUCCACACUCGGAGGAUGAGGUGCACGCCGUGUGCUGGGGGUUUUGCUUCCACCUCAGUGUCAGACAAAAACCCACCUCUUGUUUCACGUCACUUCAGCUGGAAUUUCAUCGGAUCCAGCGCUGGAUAUGAGCACGGGCUUUCCGCUCCUCCCGUUCCCUCCUGCAGGUGCAUAAACAUCAAAGUGGGUUCAGUGGGUGGUGGGGAGGUCCACCAGGUUCUCCUGAUCCACACAUACAAUCACCCUGCACCUGGAAGAAGCAGCUCUUCCAAGCAGCAAAGCACCCCUGACCUGGGAGCACACAAAGUCAGAUGUUUUCGCAACAGUUUUCCCAGCAACAAUCCACAGAUCAAAAGGUCAGAGUCUGGCAGCCCCACUCUGGCACAGGCAAGCCUGUUUAUGAGGACACUUAGUGUGGAUUUAGUAAGUUCACUGCAAAGCUCCAGGGGUGCCUGUCUCUUUAAAUCCAUCUUCUCCCAAGUGAAAUUUGUGGCCCUGAUGAAUGGCAGAGCAGAGUCAUCCAUAAAAGGGCAGAGGAAAAUCACAUUCAUUUGCAUACAGUAA
rnacentral:lncRNA from 1 species